ACGGCCAUACCACAUUGAAAACACCUGUUCUCGUCCGAUCACCGAAGUUAAGCAAUGUCGGGCCCGGUCAGUACUUGGGAGGGUGACCACCUGGGAACACCGGGUGCUGUAGGCU
rnacentral:rRNA from 1 species